rnacentral:rRNA from 1 species
UACGGGGGGGGCAAGCGUUGUUCGGAAUUACUGGGCGUAAAGGGCUCGUAGGCGGCCAACUAAGUCGGACGUGAAAUCCCCAGGCUCAACCUGGGAACUGCGUCUGAUACUGGAUGGCUUGAAUCCGGGAGAGGGUGGUGGAAUUCCCGGUGUAGCGGUGAAAUGCGUAGAUAUCGGGAGGAACAUCAGUGGCGAAGGCGACCGCCUGGCCCAACACUGACGCUGAGGUGCGAAAGCGUGGGUAGCAAACAGG